rnacentral:lncRNA from 1 species
CCAUUAUUCCUUAAGGAAAAUUAACAUUUUGAUAGGGGAUCCUAAAAAGAACAACAGGGGCAAUAUUCAGAUUUAAUUUGUUCAUAUUUUAUUUCCAGUAUUGGCUCUUUAAGAGAGUAAUAUCUGAGUGAAUCAGAGCUUUAACAAGAAUGCCUAGAGAAGAGAAUUUAUAAUGCUGCUCCAGACUCCCUGAGAAAUAAACAUGCUUCUUCUGGGCUGAAAGAUAGGGGAGAAAAUGGAAUAUAUCUAAAGAGGAAGUGAACUGGAGAGGCUGGAGUUAGAGUCCCAAGGGAAAGGAGAUGACCACCCAGUCUGGGGCCAGAGUCAAGAGACCUCAUAGAAGGUGAACCCUGUUCACCAUUUACUUGAGUACCAGGUCUGUAGAUGAAUCAAGUCAACCCUUAUUCUAUAGAAUGAACAAAAAGCAAAUAUGAAAGCAAUGUUUAGUCAAACUCCUUCAUUCAAUCUUUCCAACCAAACUCCCAGAAAAGAGGUAAACUACUGCAGAACUCUCUAACACUCACAGAGCCAAUAGAGGUUAAGAGUGUGUACAUAAUUCAAUAUGUGUACUUGGGUGAAACUGGAUAGGUGAUAAAACAUACCUAGUUAUAACUGUAAUUGCACAAGAUAGUUACUUGUUGAAA